GUGCAGUGAGGUCACCUCUUGGCCUCCUCCAGGCUAAGCAGCACAAGUCCUCAGCCUCUCCUCACAGGACGUUCCUCUGGCCCUGCUACCAGCUUUUAGAAGACAAAUGUUGAGGAGUCCAUUUUAAGCAUUUUCUAAAUCCAGUCAUAGUAGUAAUUAUUCUCUCAGGGCAAAGACUCCUAAUUCCCACUUUUUCCAAGGAGGAAAAGCAAGGUGCCGCACUCCUCGUGAACAGAAGAGUUGAUGAAUACUGGCAAGUAGGAAUGUUACACAAAACUGACUUAUGCUGAUGAGAUUUCAGCCAUCAUCGCUGACAAAGCGGAAGAAGUAGAAUCAAAUAAACAUCAUAGAUACAUUUUAUGAAAUGGUUGA
rnacentral:lncRNA from 1 species